rnacentral:tRNA from 3 species
GGAGAGAUGACCGAGCUGGCCGAAGGUGCACGACUGGAAAUCGUGUGCAGGUUUACCCCUGCCGGGGGUUCGAAUCCCCCUCUCUCCGCCA